rnacentral:rRNA from 1 species
UACGUAGGGUGCAAGCGUUGUCCGGAAUUAUUGGGCGUAAAGAGCUCGUAGGCGGUUCGUCGCGUCGGCUGUGAAAACCCGGAGCUCAACUCCGGGCCUGCAGUCGAUACGGGCGGACUGGAGUGUUGCAGGGGAGACUGGAAUUCCUGGUGUAGCGGUGAAAUGCGCAGAUAUCAGGAGGAACACCGGUGGCGAAGGCGGGUCUCUGGGCCGAUACUGACGCUGAGGCGCGAAAGCGUGGGGAGCAAACAGG